AAUAAAGUGCCUGAAAAAAGGAUUAUCGUGAUAGGAUAAAUAAUGUAAUUUCAAAUUACCUUUAUUA
rnacentral:tRNA from 1 species